GGUGGCUCAGUGGUAGAGUGAUUGCUUCAUAUGCAUGAGGCCCUGGGUUCAAUUCCUCAGCACCA
rnacentral:tRNA from 1 species